rnacentral:lncRNA from 1 species
GGCCCAGUGGAGUGGAGUGGACCGUCCCGGGCAGAGGAUCCGGGUGCUCCGGUUGUGCUGGGGGUACUUCCCCUCAGCCUGCAGUUUCAGGCCCCGGAUCCUGCCAAAUUGCCUUUUGCGGCUAGCAUCUGGACGUGGGCCUCUGUCGGCCCGAGAGAGCUUAGUCGUUCAGGCCUGGGACCGACCCACCACUCCUCCCACCACACCUACCCUGGGACCCUUGCUCAACCUCUCCGGUGCCCUUGUGUCUUUCAGGGGGCCGUGCUGUCCGGGCCCUCGGCCCCGCCUCAACUAAGUUUGGGGGCUGCGCUGUCCAGGCUCUCACCCCCUCCUCAACUAAGUUUGGCCAUUCACCUCAUCUUGAACCCCAAAACCCUCAUUGAGCCCCCACGGGUCUGCUCCAGUUGGAAACUUAGCUGCCCCCGGGAUGGGCUUCUUGAUGGAGGGCCUCGUAGCCCCACAGACCCUGAACCCAGUGGAUCAUGCCACUGCACCCUUCUACACACUACAUCAGCUGGGUCCAGUCUUGAGAAGAGGCCCAAAUGCUCCAGUCCACAAGGCAUGCAGCUCAGCAUGAAGCACCACCGGAUUAAAAACUCUUCAACUGGACGAUGAGGGGCAAGAUGGCGGAAGAGUAGGGUCCCCAAGUCACCUGUCCCCACCAAAUUACCUAGAUAACCUUCAAAUCAUCCUGAAAAUCUAUUAAUUCGGCUGAGAUUUAAAGAGAGAACAGCUGGAACGCUACAGUGAGAAUUCACGCUUCUAUCAAGGUAGGAAGACGCGGGGAAAAAAGAAAUAAAGAAACAAAAGGUAUCCAAGGGGGAGGGGCCUCACGAGGAGCUGGGCUAAG